GCCCAAAGCCAAACCACCUCUGGCUGUGGUUCCAUCAGAUCUCACAAGUUAAACAGGGUAAGGCCAGGUCAAUACUUGGUUUACUGAACUCCAAGAAAAACUUGCAGUUUUCAGAC
rnacentral:rRNA from 1 species